rnacentral:tRNA from 1 species
GGAAAUGUAUGGUGUAUCGGUGACGCACUUGACUUCCGACCUCGAGGUCUCUGGUUCGAGUCCGGGCGUUUCCA